CUACAGAACGAACGCUGGCGGCGACGUCUUAAGCAUGCAAGUCGAACGGCAAGAGGUAGCAAUACCUCCUAGAGUGGCGGACUGGUGAGUAACACGUGGGUGACAUACCCUUCAGAUGGGGAUAGCUAUUAGAAAUAGUAGAUAAUACCGAAUACGAGCACAGGGGUUAGAGAUCUGUAGAGGAAAGGAGCUAAGGCUCCGCUGAAGGAAUGGCCUGCGGCCCAUUAGCUAGUUGGUGAGGUAAGAGCCCACCAAGGCGAUGAUGGGUAUCCGGCCUUAGAGGGUGAACGGACACAUUGGGACUGAGAUACGGCCCAGACUCCUACGGGAGGCAGCAGCUAAGAAUAUUCCGCAAUGGACGAAAGUCUGACGGAGCGACGCCGCGUUGGAUGAAGAAGGCCGGAAGGUUGUAAAAUCCUUUUGAAACUGAAGAAUAAGCGUUGUAGGGAAUGACAGCGUGGUGACAGUAGGUUUUGAAUAAGCAACGGCUAAUUACGUGCCAGCAGCGGC
rnacentral:rRNA from 1 species